rnacentral:rRNA from 1 species
UACGGGGGGGUAAGCGUUGUUCGGAAUUAUUGGGCGUAAAGGGCGCGUAGGCGGCUUGGCAAGUGGAUGGUGAAAUCCCUCGGCUUAACCGAGGAACUGCCGUCCAAACUGCUUAGCUUGAGACCGGGAGAGGUGAGUGGAAUUCCCAGUGUAGCGGUGAAAUGCGUAGAUAUCUGGAGGAACACCGGUGGCGAAGGCGGCAUCCUGGACCGACACUGACGCUGAGGAGCGAAAGCCAGGGGAGCAAACGGG